UGUCACGCUUCAAAGAAGAAAGUAAGAAAAAGACAAGCUGUGAAAAACCUUUAAUGCAACAUCAAUAACACAUUAACACUCAAGUGUCACACACUUCAAAGAAGAAAGUAAAAUGAUGUUAAGCUGUGAAGUUCAGAACUGUAUUCUACACAUGCAUGCAUUCUCACAACUUACUUUAUUUAUCACGAGGAAAAAGAGAAAUCCUUUGUAAAAUCAUUGACUUAGAGGUAGCAGUUUUGGAUUGUUGAGCAAUAGAAAUUCCAGGCGCUGAACUGUUUAAAUGAAAGAGAUUUUUAGCUUCAAUACACCCCUUAGCAGCACUUGAUGAUUUCUUUAUUCCCAUGCUGUUGUGAACAGCCUGAAUCUGUCACCAAACAGCCUCCAAUGGGAAAGGUUAGUUGUUGUUGUUUGUUUUCCCUUAACAGCCGUGCUAGGUUGUUGUUUAAAAAAAAAAAGGAACUGGUCAGGGUAGUAGGAAUCUCAAUGGCUUACACUCAAAACUAGUCUCUCUUACAUUUAGAGAGUAAAGGGAAGGCUGGGGAUGACCAUUGCUCCGGGUUAACAGGGGUUAAAAGGCAACUUACACUCAAAACUAGUCUCUCUUACAUUUAGAGAGUAAAGGGAAGGCUGGGGAUGACCAUUGCUCCGGGUUAACAGGGGUUAAAAGGCAACUGUAAUCACUAAUAAUCAACCGACUUCUUGAGAAAUAAUAUGAAAGUAUUUUUUUAAGAAAAUAUUCUAU